CCCGCUGAACUUAAGCAUAUCAAUAAGCGGAGGAAAAGAAACUAACAAGGAUUCCCCUAGUAACUGCGAGUGAAGAGGGAAAAGCUCAAAUUUAAAAUCUGGCAGUCAUAUGGCUGUCCGAGUUGUAAUUUAGAGAAGUGUUAUCCGCGCUGGACCGUGUACAAGUCUCCUGGAAUGGAGCGUCAUAGAGGGUGAGAAUCCCGUCUUUGACACGGACUACCAGGGCUUUGUGAUGCGCUCUCGAAGAGUCGAGUUGUUUGGGAAUGCAGCUCAAAAUGGGUGGUAAAUUCCAUCUAAAGCUAAAUAUUGGCGAGAGACCGAUAGCGAACAAGUACCGUGAGGGAAAGAUGAAAAGAACUUUGGAAAGAGAGUUAAACAGUACGUGAAAUUGUUGAAAGGGAAACGCUUGAAGUCAGUCGCGUUGGCUUGAAAUCAACCUUGCUCUUUUGCUUGGUGUACUUUCUUGUCGACGGGUCAACAUCAGUUUUGGCUGCUGGAUAAAGGUUGAGGGAAUGUUGCAUCCUCGGAUGUGUUAUAGCCCUUGAUUGUAUACAGUAGCUGGGACUGAGGAACUCAGCACGCCGCAAGGCCGGGUCUUUGACCACGUACGUGCUUAGGAUGUUGGCAUAAUGGCUUUAAUCGACCCGUCUUGAAACACGG
rnacentral:rRNA from 1 species